AGCUCGGUACGGGGACCUCUAGAGAUUAGAGUUUGAUCAUGGCUCAGGAUGAACGCUGGCGGUAUGCCUAACACAUGCAAGUCGAACGGAGUUCUUCGGAACUUAGUGGCGGACGGGUGAGUAACGCGUGAGAAUCUGCCUUCAGGAUGGGGACAACAACGAGAAAUCGGUGCUAAAACCCAAUGUGCCGAAAGGUGAAAUACUUGUAGCCUGAAGAGGAGCUCGCGUCCGAUUAGUUAGUUGGUGGGGUAAGAGCCUACCAAGGCAGCGAUCGGUAGCUGGUCUGAGAGGAUGAGCAGCCACACUGGGACUGAGACACGGCCCAGACUCCUACGGGAGGCAGCAGUGGGGAAUUUUCCGCAAUGGGCGAAAGCCUGACGGAGCAAUACCGCGUGAGGGAGGAAGAUUUUUGGAUUGUAAACCUCUUUUUUAAAGGAAGAAGAAAGUGACGGUACUUUAAGAAUCAGCAUCGGCUAACUCCGUGCCAGCAGCCGCGGUAAUACGGAGGAUGCAAGCGUUAUCCGGAAUCAUUGGGCGUAAAGCGUCCGCAGGUGGCUGUUCAAGUCUGCUGUUAAAGACAGAAGCUCAACUUCUGAGCAGCAGUGGAAACUGGACAGCUAGAGUACGGUAGGGGUUGAGGGAAUUCCCAGUGUAGCGGUGAAAUGCGUAGAUAUUGGGAAGAACACCAGUGGCGAAGGCGCUCAACUGGGCCGUAACUGACACUCAGGGACGAAAGCUAGGGUAGCGAAAGGGAUUAGAUACCCCUGUAGUCUUAGCUGUAAACGAUGAACACUAGGCGUUGCUUGUAUCGACCCGAGCAGUGCCGUAGCCAACGCGUUAAGUGUUCCGCCUGGGGAGUACGCACGCAAGUGUGAAACUCAAAGGAAUUGACGGGGGCCCGCACAAGCGGUGGAGUAUGUGGUUUAAUUCGAUGCAACGCGAAGAACCUUACCAGGACUUGACAUCUCGAGAACUUGGCAUAAUAGCCAAGGUGCCUUAGGGAACUCGAAGACAGGUGGUGCAUGGCUGUCGUCAGCUCGUGUCGUGAGAUGUUGGGUUAAGUCCCGCAACGAGCGCAACCCUCGUUCUUAGUUGCCAGCAUUAAGUUGGGCACUUUAGGAAGACUGCCGGUGACAAACCGGAGGAAGGUGGGGAUGACGUCAAGUCAGCAUGCCCCUUACGUCCUGGGCUACACACGUACUACAAUGGUUGGGACAAAGGGCAGCGAGCUCGCGAGAGUAAGCGAAUCUCAUCAAACCCAGCCUCAGUUCAGAUUGCAGGCUGCAACUCGCCUGCAUGAAGGAGGAAUCGCUAGUAAUCGCAGGUCAGCAUACUGCGGUGAAUUCGUUCCCGGGCCUUGUACACACCGCCCGUCACACCAUGGAAGUUGGCCACGCCCGAAGUCGUUACCCUAACCGAUUUAUCGGAGGGGGAUGCCGAAGGCAGGGCUGGUGACUAGGGUGAAGUCGUAACAAGGUAGCCAAUCGUCGACC
rnacentral:rRNA from 1 species